rnacentral:rRNA from 1 species
UACGUAGGGUGCGAGCGUUGUCCGGAAUUAUUGGGCGUAAAGGGCUCGUAGGCGGUCUGUCACGUCGGGAGUGAAAACACGGGGCUUAACCCCGUGCCUGCUUCCGAUACGGGCAGACUAGAGGUAUGCAGGGGAGAACGGAAUUCCUGGUGUAGCGGUGAAAUGCGCAGAUAUCAGGAGGAACACCGGUGGCGAAGGUGGUUCUCUGGGCAUUACCUGACGCUGAGGAGCGAAAGCAUGGGGAGCGAACAGG